AGUCUCACCAGUGUGUCAUAAGGACUACAUACUGUACGUCAAGUGAUGAUAACAGUGCCUGGCCUAAAGUCAGCUCUAUGACUUGCUAUUUACCACCUAUCAUGUGGCAAGCUUGAUGCUCUACUUCAGAGAUUCUAAGAUAAUUUGUACAUCACUUUGCCUGCCUUAAAGAUGCUCAUAAACUAACAAAGAGAAGCAUUUGAUCCAUGUGUUAUCAACUCAAGGUCCCAGUGAUCUUCCCAGAUUGGAAAUGGAUAACUAUCGCACUGUGGACCACUAGGUAUUGGUUGCCAAUU